GAUGAACGCUGGCGGCGUGCCUAAUACAUGCAAGUCGAGCGAAUGGAUUAAGAGCUUGCUCUUAUGAAGUUAGCGGCGGACGGGUGAGUAACACGUGGGUAACCUGCCCAUAAGACUGGGAUAACUCCGGGAAACCGGGGCUAAUACCGGAUAACAUUUUGAACCGCAUGGUUCGAAAUUGAAAGGCGGCUUCGGCUGUCACUUAUGGAUGGACCCGCGUCGCAUUAGCUAGUUGGUGAGGUAACGGCUCACCAAGGCAACGAUGCGUAGCCGCCCUGAGAGGGUGAUCGGCCACACGGGGACCGGGACACGGCCCAGACUCCUACGGGAGGCAGCAGUAGGGAAUCUUCCGCAAUGGACAAGAGUCUGACGGAGCAACGCCGCGUGAGUGAUGAAGGCUUUCGGGUCGUAAAACUCUGUUGUUAGGGAAGAACAAGUGCUAGUUGAAUAAGCUGACACCUUGACGGUACCUAACCAGAAAGCCACGGCUAACUACGUGCCAGCCGCCGCGGUAA
rnacentral:rRNA from 1 species